UUCUCACGACGUCGUUUUGUCUAUUCACAAAGCAUGAACCUUUCUGUUCUGUAUCUCCCCUCCCUCGUUGCCUGCACAUUCCACAGCCUCAGAACAAGCUCCACUUAAGAUUGCUCUUGUUCACUGUGUCUCCCGACCAGGUUAAAGUCAUGGGGGAGAUGUCUUGUUAAGUCCUCUCUCCACCACUUCUACAUCGAAUCAACUGUAUUGUGGAUGUCAUUCCGUUAAGAAGAGCAGUUGUCAUUGGUCUUUGAGUCACUCUUUAGACUUUGCAUUGACCAUGAAGCUAAAACGAAGACGCCUAGUUUACGUUAGUGUAAAGAUUGAGUCUUUAUCUUUAGGAACAACGAGAAUGUGUUUCAGUAAAGUGAGUAGUGAACCAGACAGAGUUGAAACUAUGGCUUUGGAAUGUGGAUUGAAAGAAAGAGAGAACGAGAUGAGUUUUCUAGAUGGGGUAGAACUAGAGAAGCCUGAAGGGGUUAGGAAGAGUAGGAUACAUUAUCUAGAGGAGAGGGACGGGUGAACAACGUGUACGAAGCUGAGAGAGUCUGGAGAGUUAUGAUUACUGAUGGUCUAAUAGGAACGGAGGUUACAUAUUCUCUUCUCGUUAGCAUCUUUGUCCGGUGCGGGAGAAGCGAGCUGGCUCUCGAUGCAUACGACGAGAUGAUUCACAAGAACAUAUCUCCUAGAGAGAGUGGAGCCUGAUGUGUCGCUUUACAAUGCGGUUAUACAUGGGAUGUGUUUAAUACGUGAGUUUAAGUUUGCGAAGGAGCUGUAUGUGGAAAUGAGAGAGAUGAGGUUGGAGCCGGAUGGUAAGACUCGAGCUAUGAUGCUACAGAACUUGAAGAGACUGUGAAAGUUGAAGGUGGUGAUGCUUUUGUCUACUCAUAUACUUGUUAAUUUUGCUACCUUGAUAUGAAAUGGAAUAAAACAACUAAUAAAAAAGUUCUAGCA